GGAUCCAGACUUUGAUUCUGGCUCAGAGUGAACGCUGGCGGCGUGCUUAACACAUGCAAGUCGAACGAUGAAGCUCUUGCUUGCAAGAGUGGAUUUGUGGCGCACGGGUGAGUAAUGUAUAGCUAACCUGCCCUUCAGAGGGGGACAACAGUUGGAAACGACUGCUAAUACCCCAUACUCCUUUCUAUCAUAAGGUAGAUUGGGAAAACUCCGGUGCUGAAGGAUGGGGCUGUAUGGUAUCAGUUAGUUGGUGGGGUAAUGGCCUACCAAGGCAAUGACGCCUAGCUGGUCUGAGAGGAUGAUCAGCCACACUGGAACUGAGACACGGUCCAGACUCCUACGGGAGGCAGCAGUGGGGAAUAUUGCACAAUGGGGGAAACCCUGAUGCAGCANCGCCGCGUGGAGGAUGACGCAUUUCGGUGUGUAAACUCCUUUUAUCAGUCAAGAACAUGACGGUAGCUGAUGAAUAAGCACCGGCUAACUCGUGCCAGCAGCCGCGGAAU
rnacentral:rRNA from 1 species